UGAGUUUAUUGAAGGAAUUCGUACCUUUUAUAAGAUUAAUAAAUCUACUUAUGAAUUCAGUUUGCCUAGAAUCUCAUGUCAAUGCUGAAAUAAAUCUAGAUCUUAUGGUUUCUAAUAUAUUUGUUAAUUCGCAGCGGAACAAGGAAUAAGAACAAACCGGGGUUACUUAACACUGCAAACGUCGUGCCUGUUUUGGUACCCCGCACACACAAACUAGAUCGAUAUGGGAUGCUGCUAUAGGAAAGCAAUGAUGACACGUGCAAGAAGAAUAGAAGAUCAUAACGGACACGUGUCCAUCAUCGAACGGAGCAGUUGGAAGUUUGUAAUGAAAAAACAGAGUAUAAAGAAGGAGAGAAAGCUUUGGGAAGAAAUAAUCAAAAAAAUGUGUGUGUGUCCUUCAUUCUCUAAACAAUUCUGAGUGUGUGUGUGAUUCUUUUGUUAUACAUGUUGAGUUGUUCCUUCACAAGUAAACUCUUGGCUUGAUAAGAUCGAUUAUGUGUAUUCAACAUUGGAUCGUUUGGAUUUCUAUCUUUUAUCGGAGUACGAGUUAGCUGUAUCAAAGGUAUCAGAAGUCAUCUCGAACCUCGGAAUCCAUGGCGGAAAAGAGAUCUCAGACGAUGCAGAAGGAGGUGAUAGGUCGCGAUGUGGACGAUUCCAUCGGAAAUCGGAUCCAGGCAUUAGAAGAAGCUUUUACGGAACAACGACAGUUCGUGGAAACAAAAAUCGCAGAUAUCUUCAAAGUGAUUCGAUUGUUAACGGUGAAUCAAGCUUCGACGAACGACGGUCAAUGAACCGGAAAUCAAUCACCGGUCAUAUCCGCGAAUCACGAGACUAGGUCAACAACGGCAAGGUAAUCAACAUAAUUACGCCGGAAUCACGAGACUAGGUCAAGUUGAUUUUCCUCGCUUCGAUGGUGAUUGUGUGAAAGCUUGGUUGUUCAAAGUGAAGGAAUUCUUUGCUAUCGAUAACACACCGUAUGAACUAUGUGUUCGAUUAGCAUCGAUUCAUUACAAUUCUUUUCGCUGCGAAGGGGCAUCAAUCAGUAGCUCAAUCUGAAAAUGAUGUUUAUGUUUUGGAGGAUUGGGAACACUAUAAGGUUUUACUGAAGGAGAGAUUUGAAGAAGUUUUGGAUGAUCCAAUUGCUGAGCUGAAGCGUUUGUAGGAAACUGAUUGCAUUAGCAACUAUCACGCUAAAUUUGAGAAGAUACGUAACAGAGUUAAGCUAAGUGAAAGCUAUCUGGUGAGUUCAUACUUGGCUUGGUUGAAUACUGAUACUCAGAUGCACGUUAGAAUGUUUCAACCAAAAUCAGUAUUCGAGUGUGCUACUAGGGAGGUUAUACGAAACUGCUCACCCAAGGAAGAACUCUGCUACAACUUGGAGUAAUAGGAAAGCUGCAAACAAAAACAACAAUUAUGUUAAAGGAUUAAUCUCCUACCAGAAGCCUGUGGAGCAGGUAAAGUCCAAUGUUUUAGAAGAAGAUAAGAAGAAAGAAUGGUUCAAACAACCUCAGAAGUUCCUUUCUAAUGAAGACAUGAGUGAAAGAAGGACAAAGGGGUUAUGUUACUGCUGCGAUGAGAAGUACACACCGGGCCAUUAAAACAUGGCUACCUCAUUCGUCACCCCAUCCAGAGCACGUUCAAACUCGAAAGAAAUUCUCAUCUCCACCGAAGGAUGAAUCAAAUAUUUCCUCUGAAUGUUUGAAAACUCCCUCUCGCGAAUAUCGAAGCGUGGACCAUCAUUCAAGCAGAUGAAAACGAUGCUGCACUGUCAGCCUCCGGGAUCUCCCCCCAAGUAGGAAUGGGAGACGAGAAAAGAUCGGCAAAAAGGCGACGAGGCCUUGUACGACCACCCACGAAAGAAGUUGGAAACGCGGGGAGAUCGAGAUGAUUAUUCAUCUUUCUUACCUAAAAACUCAAGAGCCCGAGAGAGAUUUGAACUGAUGUUGAUCGUAGCAAGUCUUUAUAUACACCAAGUCCACUCUUCCUCAUGGAGCUGAAAAAGGAAAGAUAACAUUUCCAAAUAUCAUAGAUGUGCACGAACAACCUGUAAAAAGGAAACUUGACCCUCGCAAAAGAAAAAGAGAAUCCUUCCUAAAAAGGAAAUUGGCAAAAAGCGAUCGGACAUCUCCAAAAAUUUCCUCCAAAUAAGAUUCGACUCGGACGCCCACUGCAACAUCAAGGAUCUCUUCCAAUACAUCUUACACCAGCUCCGGUAUCAACACUAAAGCACAAGCUAAGCGCUCCGGCCUCGUCCUCCAAAUAAAUCACAAAGCCUCCAAGCUUCCUCGUGUUCAACAAACUCAAUAACUCGAGAAGAUAUUACUAGGCUGCGGCCUACCUCAGGGAAAUUAGUCCUCGUCCAGGUUUGGAAUACGGUUCCGACCUAGGAAGAACAUGGAAAAGCGGGAUUACUGGAGCGAUGUCCUUCCCAAGGGAAGCCUGCUGAGAAUGAGCAAAUCCACUUGACUCGAGUGCACACGUUAUUUCCCGAGUUCGAUGAAGAAAUCGAGAAAUAAAAGGGAAUUUUUUGGGGUAAAAAUACUCUGGUAUAAAAUUUCUCCAGAUCCCUAGCAGGACACUGGCCUCCAGGUUCCUGCUAAGAGGCGCUCUGGGUCCAACCCCUGCUUUCGUCCCUUCCUCGGGGUAAAAUGGAAAUCUUCCGAUAUGGGGAUUCUCCCAUAUUUCCACAUAUGGAAGAGUUUAACCCUAUUCGCCGACUUCAGUCGACCAAAAGACGACUAUAUAAGGAGAGCCCAAACUCUAAAACAAGGGAUCGACACUUCGAGACUUAGAGAGUAGAGUUAGGCGGCUAGAACUAGGGUUUAGACAAUAAACAUUGUAGUUUCUGCUCAAUUCAUCAAUAAUAUAUCUAUUUUAGUCUCAAUCCCUGCGAAUCUUAUACUAUAUAAGGCUUGUCCAUCGUUCCAUAGUACUCACAAAGAUCCUACACAAAAAUCCCCUAACAUCUACCAUAGCGAUCUCAUCCACAAAAGGAUUGUAUGUGUAGGAAUAAAGAUCACUUCGUCGAAUUGGGGGAGUGACACCCGAAAGCCUUUAUAUCAUGGCUUGGACGACUUCAAAUUUUUUGGAGAAUACUUGCUUGAGGUGGGCCAUCAUUUCAGAUUUGUUUGCUGCAGCUGCUUCCUGCAUCUCUUCGUCUGUUAUUGGAGUCGGGGUCAUCGUCCUCUGUCAGGUUCGUUGAUUUACCCCCGGAGUGUCGGUUCCAGUCGGCAGUUCUCCAUUCAGUGGUGGAGCCCUUCAGGUGGUGUUGGCUCCCUUAGUCGAAGUUUCCAAGGGUUAUCGAACGUGGGUUCAGAAUCGGUGUAUUUUCUUGCUCAUCGAAUUAAGAGCAGAGUUUUCCUCUCAGAGAACCAAGUUGUUGAGCUCAAAUAUGGUUAUCCAUUAAGGCGUUUCUCUCCCGAGCUGUGUGUAACACAAUGACUUGGCUUUGCAAAGCUGCAAUCUAAGCUUGCAACUCAGUCUCGACAGGAGUGGCUUAAAGCUGCUCGGUAUGCUCCAUUUCCGUCAUUGUCACGUAGUCUUGAUUAUCUCCUCUUUCUAACGCCAAACUUUUAAUGUAAUUUCAUGUCAGUGCUUUGUUGGUACUACAGCAACGAGAAGAAAUUAGUAGACGAGCAUGAAAAAUGAUCAAAAGAUAUGUGUUUAUUGAUCUUUAGAGUUGGCCCCACAACAGUUUGUAUUAUAAUCCUUAGUUAUAAUCACCUAGCUCUAGUUUCCUGUAUAGAACAGUUAAUCCCUUGUUCUAGGGUUUGUGUCUCCUUUAUAUAGGUUUUUCGUAGUCGGAAACUAGGUUACAUACUUUCAAAUUAUGAAAUAUGAAUUAUCUCCCUUCAAUAGAAGGUUUCCAUUUUACCCGGAGGAAGGGAGGGAGCCAGGUCUGAGCUGGAAUUUUUCUAGGUAAGGAUUGAAGGCCCCAGCAUCCAAAUCAAAAAGAGUGUUCUCUUUCUAGAUUAUUUAUCCCCAACAUCAGGUGUUUUGGGUUCCUGGCUUCUUGACUUUUAUUUUUUUUCCUCGCGCUUCUCUUAGCAGUUGUAUGCAUGAUGCCGCCUAUCUCGGAGCCACCAUAUAUCAUGUUAUUUAUCCUAUCAUAACGAAGUGGUGAGGCAGAAGUAGUUGUGGCCAAUUGAUUUUUUUUUCAUCCUUUUCGUUGAGGAGCUUAUUGGCUUUGUCAAAAAGAACUUAUUCCCUUUCUUUAGUAGGUGUUAAACUUCUUUAUUCAGUUAAAUGCAGUUCUCGGUUUUAUGAUUGUGGUCAUUGUGGAAUUCACACCAUCGAUUUGAGUUCUGGAACGUUUCUGGUGCUUUUAUAUUCUGAAGCCACUUGAAUUAUGGGCCCAUCUGCCUUAGAAAGUUGACCAGUUCCAUCUUCGAGAUGGAGAGAUUGGAGAUAUUCGGCCAAGUCAACACUGCCAUUAUUUCGUCCUUUACGAUGAGUCGAUAUUGUUGUGCCCAUGCUCUAGACAACACGUCCUAAAUGGUUCUUCACUGGUAUGCCUCUCUAAAAGGAGGAUAUGGCUGUUGAGAUGUUAAAUCCGGGGAUGGAAAAAAGUUUUAUUUGAAGUGUGUUAUGUAUAUGCGCAAGGGUUCAGCCUGGUGUUGCAGGAUCUCGUAAAGUUCAUCAGCUAUUUUGAGGUCCAUGUUGCUCACAAAUUGUACCACGAACUGGUCGAUUUAGGAUGAAAAAGAGUGUUAGGCAGGUUGAUAUACCAUGGCAACACGGGUCCGGUCAGAGUUGAGCCGAAACCCUUGCACAUGGAGUGACUUGACCCAGAUUUUGGAUUUACCCAAGCAGAAUCGAAUGCCGGCGUUUUACUCUGAAGACUAAUGUGUUUUACCCAAGCACAAAUCGAAUUUCCAUCUGCCAGUAUUAGUCUCUGAAAACUAAUGUGUAAUCUGCCAGUAUUUUCUUCGGGACUAAUGUGGGUUAAUGUCUCUGAAGACUAGUGUGUACUCAGAGACCGAAGUAAUAACUUCAUGAAAUAUUUAUUUCCAACAUCUUGCAUGGGCUAUCAACUAUAAGUGAUUUCGCU